GGAACCUUGGUUUGAGGUUGAGGGCCUGUUGGUUUUAAAGCAAUGGAAAUGGGAAAGUGGGUAUGGAGAUAUGGUAUGUUGAGGCUGGGACUGGGAUAGUGGGUAUGGGGGUAUGGUAUGUUGAGGCUGGGACUGGGAUAGUGGGUACGGAGGUAUGGUAUGUUGAGGCUGGGACUGGGAUAGUGGGUAUGGAGGUAUGGUAUGUUGAGGCUGGGACUGGGAUAGUGGGUAUGGAGGUAUGGUAUGUUGAGGCUGGGACUGGGAUAGUGGGUACGGAGGUAUGGUAUGUUGAGGCUGGGACUGGGAUAGUGGGUAUGGAGGUAUGG
ensembl:lncRNA